rnacentral:rRNA from 1 species
CUACGGGGGGCAGCAGUGAGGAAUCUUGCGCAAUGGGGGAAACCCUGACGCAGCGACGCCGCGUGGGUGAUGAAGGCCUUCGGGUCGUAAAGCCCUGUCGGGUGGGAAGAACCCUAUUCAUGUUAAUAGCAUGAUUAGCUGACGGUACCGCCCAAGGAAGCACCGGCUAACUCCGUGCCAGCAGCCGCGGUAAUACGGAGGGUGCAAGCGUUGUUCGGAAUCACUGGGCGUAAAGGGCGCGCAGGCGGUUGGGUAAGUCAGAUGUGAAAGCCCCGGGCUUAACCUGGGAAGUGCAUUUGAGACUGCUAAUCUUGAGUACGGGAGAGGGAAGCGGAAUUCCGAGUGUAGCGGUGAAAUUCGUAGAUAUUCGAAGGAACACCGGUGGCGAAGGCGGCUUCCUGGACCGAUACUGACGCUGAGGCGCGAAAGCGUGGGGAGCAAACAGGAUUAGAUACCCGUGUAGUC